GACGAACGCUGGCGGCGUGCUUAACACAUGCAAGUCGAACGAUGAAGCCGGAGCUUGCUCCGGUGGAUUAGUGGCGAACGGGUGAGUAACACGUGAGCAAUCUGCCCUUGACUCUGGGAUAACUGCGGGAAACUGUAGCUAAUACCGGAUACGACACCUUGGGGCAUCCCAGGGUGUGGAAAGAAUUUCGGUCAAGGAUGAGCUCGCGGCCUAUCAGCUAGUUGGUGAGGUAAUGGCUCACCAAGGCGACGACGGGUAGCCGGCCUGAGAGGGUGACGGGCCACACUGGAACUGUGACAUGGACCAGACUCCUACGGGAGGCAGCAGUGGGGAAUAUUGCACAAUGGGCGAAAGCCUGAUGCAGCAACGCCGCGUGAGGGAUGAAGGCCUUCGGGUUGUAAACCUCUUUUAGCAGGGAAGAAGCGAAAGUGACGGUACCUGCAGAAAAAGCACCGGCUAACUACGUGCCAGCCGCCGCCGUAA
rnacentral:rRNA from 1 species